rnacentral:rRNA from 1 species
GAUCAUGGCUCAGGAUGAACGCUAGCUACAGGCUUAACACAUGCAAGUCGAGGGGCAUCAGGAAGAAAGCUUGCUUUCUUUGCUGGCGACCGGCGCACGGGUGAGUAACACGUAUCCAACCUACCCUUUACUCGGGGAUAGCCUUUCGAAAGAAGAUUAAUACCCGAUGGCAUAAUGAUUCCGCAUGGUUUCAUUAUUAAAGGUAUUCCGGUAAAGGAUGGGAUGCGUUCCAUUAGGUUGUUGGUGAGGUAACGG